rnacentral:rRNA from 1 species
CAGCCGCCGCGGGAAUACAGAGGGUGCGAGCGUUAAUCGGAUUUACUGGGCGUAAAGCGUGCGUAGGCGGCUUUUUAAGUCGGAUGUGAAAUCCCUGAGCUUAACUUAGGAAUUGCAUUCGAUACUGGGAAGCUAGAGUAUGGGAGAGGAUGGUAGAAUUCCAGGUGUAGCGGUGAAAUGCGUAGAGAUCUGGAGGAAUACCGAUGGCGAAGGCAGCCAUCUGGCCUAAUACUGACGCUGAGGUACGAAAGCAUGGGGAGCAAACAGGAUUAGAUACCCCAGUAGUCCCUGUCUCUUAUAC